rnacentral:rRNA from 1 species
UACGUAGGAGGCAAGCGUUGUCCGGAAUUACUGGGCGUAAAGCGCGUGUAGGUGGUGGGACAAGUCUGCUGUGAAAGCGCCUGGCUUAACCGGGCGAGGUCGGCGGAAACUGUUCGACUCGAGGACGGUAGAGGGGGGUGGAAUUCCCGGUGUAGUGGUGAAAUGCGUAGAGAUGUGGAGGAAUACCGGUGGCGAAGGCGGCAUCCUGGACCGGCAUUGACGCUGAGGCGCGAAAGCUAGGGGAGCAAACGGG